rnacentral:rRNA from 1 species
GGCUCAGGACGAACGCUGGCGGCGUGCCUAAUACAUGCAAGUCGAACGAACUCUGGUAUUGAUUGGUGCUUGCAUCAUGAUUUACAUUUGAGUGAGUGGCGAACUGGUGAGUAACACGUGGGAAACCUGCCCAGAAGCGGGGGAUAACACCUGGAAACAGAUGCUAAUACCGCAUAACAACUUGGACCGCAUGGUCCGAGUUUGAAAGAUGGCUUCGGCUAUCACUUUUGGAUGGUCCCGCGGCGUAUUAGCUAGAUGGUGAGGUAACGGCUCACCAUGGCAAUGAUACGUAGCCGACCUGAGAGGGUAAUCGGCCACAUUGGGACUGAGACACGGCCCAAACUCCUACGGGAGGCAGCAGUAGGGAAUCUUCCACAAUGGACGAAAGUCUGAUGGAGCAACGCCGCGUGAGUGAAGAAGGGUUUCGGCUCGUAAAACUCUGUUGUUAAAGAAGAACAUAUCUGAGAGUAACUGUUCAGGUAUUGACGGUAUUUAACCAGAAAGCCACGGCUAACUACGUGCCAGCAGCCGCGGUAAUACGUAGGUGGCAAGCGUUGUCCGGAUUUAUUGGGCGUAAAGCGAGCGCAGGCGGUUUUUUAAGUCUGAUGUGAAAGCCUUCGGCUCAACCGAAGAAGUGCAUCGGAAACUGGGGAACUUGAGUGCAGAAGAGGACAGUGGAACUCCAUGUGUAGCGGUGAAAUGCGUAGAUAUAUGGAAGAACACCAGUGGCGAAGGCGGCUGUCUGGUCUGUAACUGACGCUGAGGCUCGAAAGUAUGGGUAGCAAACAGGAUUAGAUACCCUGGUAGUCCAUACCGUAAACGAUGAAUGCUAAGUGUUGGAGGGUUUCCGCCCUUCAGUGCUGCAGCUAACGCAUUAAGCAUUCCGCCUGGGGAGUACGGCCGCAAGGCUGAAACUCAAAGGAAUUGACGGGGGCCCGCACAAGCGGUGGAGCAUGUGGUUUAAUUCGAAGCUACGCGAAGAACCUUACCAGGUCUUGACAUACUAUGCAAAUCUAAGAGAUUAGACGUUCCCUUCGGGGACAUGGAUACAGGUGGUGCAUGGUUGUCGUCAGCUCGUGUCGUGAGAUGUUGGGUUAAGUCCCGCAACGAGCGCAACCCUUAUUAUCAGUUGCCAGCAUUAAGUUGGGCACUCUGGUGAGACUGCCGGUGACAAACCGGAGGAAGGUGGGGAUGACGUCAAAUCAUCAUGCCCCUUAUGACCUGGGCUACACACGUGCUACAAUGGAUGGUACAACGAGUUGCGAACUCGCGAGAGUAAGCUAAUCUCUUAAAGCCAUUCUCAGUUCGGAUUGUAGGCUGCAACUCGCCUACAUGAAGUCGGAAUCGCUAGUAAUCGCGGAUCAGCAUGCCGCGGUGAAUACGUUCCCGGGCCUUGUACACACCGCCCGUCACACCAUGAGAGUUUGUAACACCCAAAGUCGGUGGGGUAACCUUUUAGGAACCAGCCGCCUAAGGUGGGACAGAUGAUUAGGGUG